CGUCGAAUGUGCUCUGUGAAAUGUGUUGUUUCUCCAUAUCAUAUCACAGCCACAUUUGAUGCGC
rnacentral:pre_miRNA from 1 species